UAUAUAUAUAUAUAUAUAUAUAUAUAUAUAUAUAAUUGAGUUCCUAUGCUUUUAAAAGUACCAAGUCAUUGGUGCUUGUAAGUUUUCGGCCCUUGGACUAAGGAUGUGCGGUUAGGAUGAUAUGGGCCCCAUAGAGUUGAGUGGUUAGUUGGUUGAAUAGUAUAAUCUAACGGGUGAAAAUGAUCAAAGGCGUAGAUCUAACGGUAAAAAAUUCACAAGCACCGAGUGCUUGGUGCUUUUACAAGCAUCAUAACCGGCCUCUCUCUCUCUCUCUCUCUCUCUC
rnacentral:lncRNA from 1 species